rnacentral:rRNA from 1 species
GAUGAACGCUGGCGGCGUGCCUAAUACAUGCAAGUCGAGCGAAUGGAUUAAGAGCUUGCUCUUAUGAAGUUAGCGGCGGACGGGUGAGUAACACGUGGGUAACCUGCCCAUAAGACUGGGAUAACUCCGGGAAACCGGGGCUAAUACCGGAUAACAUUUUGAACCGCAUGGUUCGAAAUUGAAAGGCGGCUUCGGCUGUCACUUAUGGAUGGACCCGCGUCGCAUUAGCUAGUUGGUGAGGUAACGGCUCACCAAGGCAACGAUGCGUAGCCGACCUGAGAGGGUGACCGGCCACACUGGGACUGAGACACGGCCCAGACUCCUACGAGAGGCAGCAGUAGGGAAUCUUCCGCAAUGGACGAAAGUCUGACGGAGCAACGCCGCGUGAGUGAUGAAGGCUUUCGGGUCGUAAAACUCUGUUGUUAGGGAAGAACAAGUGCUAGUUGAAUAAGCUGGCACCUUGACGGUACCUAACCAGAAAGCCACGGCUAACUACGUGCCAGCAGCCGCCGUAA